GACGAACGCUGGCGGCGUGCUUAACACAUGCAAGUCGAACGGAAAGGCCCUGCUUUUGUGGGGUGCUCGAGUGGCGAACGGGUGAGUAACACGUGAGUAACCUGCCCUUGACUUUGGGAUAACUUCGGGAAACUGGGGCUAAUACCGGAUAGGAGCUCCUGCUGCAUGGUGGGGGUUGGAAAGUUUCGGCGGUUGGGGAUGGACUCGCGGCUUAUCAGCUUGUUGGUGGGGUAGUGGCUUACCAAGGCUUUGACGGGUAGCCGGCCUGAGAGGGUGACCGGCCACAUUGGGACUGAGAUACGGCCCAGACUCCUACGGGAGGCAGCAGUGGGGAAUAUUGCACAAUGGGCGGAAGCCUGAUGCAGCAACGCCGCGUGCGGGAUGACGGCCUUCGGGUUGUAAACCGCUUUCGCCUGUGACGAAGCGUGAGUGACGGUAAUGGGUAAAGAAGCACCGGCUAACUACGUGCCAGCAGCCGCGGUGAUACGUAGGGUGCGAGCGUUGUCCGGAUUUAUUGGGCGUAAAGGGCUCGUAGGUGGUUGAUCGCGUCGGAAGUGUAAUCUUGUGGCUUAACCCUGAGCGUGCUUUCGAUACGGGUUGACUUGAGGAAGGUAGGGGAGAAUGGAAUUCCUGGUGGAGCGGUGGAAUGCGCAGAUAUCAGGAGGAACACCAGUGGCGAAGGCGGUUCUCUGGGCCUUUCCUGACGCUGAGGAGCGAAAGCGUGGGGAGCGAACAGGCUUAGAUACCCUGGUAGUCCACGCUGUAAACGGUGGGUACUAGGUGUGGGGUCCAUUCCACGGGUUCCGUGCCGUAGCUAACGCUUUAAGUACCCCGCCUGGGGAGUACGGCCGCAAGGCUAAAACUCAAAGGAAUUGACGGGGCCCCGCACAAGCGGCGGAGCAUGCGGAUUAAUUCGAUGCAACGCGUAGAACCUUACCUGGGUUUGACAUGGAUCGGGAGUGCUCAGAGAUGGGUGUGCCUCUUUUGGGGUCGGUUCACAGGUGGUGCAUGGCUGUCGUCAGCUCGUGUCGUGAGAUGUUGGGUUAAGUCCCGCAACGAGCGCAACCCUUGUUCACUGUUGCCAGCACGUUAUGGUGGGGACUCAGUGGAGACCGCCGGGGUCAACUCGGAGGAAGGUGGGGAUGACGUCAAGUCAUCAUGCCCCUUAUGUCCAGGGCUUCACGCAUGCUACAAUGGCUGGUACAGAGAGUGGCGAGCCUGUGAGGGUGAGCGAAUCUCGGAAAGCCGGUCUCGGUUCGGAUUGGGGUCUGCAACUCGACCUCAUGAAGUCGGAGUCGCUAGUAAUCGCAGAUCAGCAACGCUGCGGUGAAUACGUUCCCGGG
rnacentral:rRNA from 1 species